AUGGAACAACUCAACCUGGAAGAUGAAGACUUUGAUGAUCUGGUGAUAGAUGAGGCUGAUCCGGAGAUCAAUGAGAGCGUGAGAUGGCUCGCGCUGGCUAGGGUUCAUACUGAGAAAACCUUCAGCCAAGCGGCCUUCUACAAGGAUAUGCGGGCGGCUUGGAACCCCGCGCAGCCGGUAAGGUUUCGCCCGGUUGGGCCGAAGCUUUUUGUUGUACAAGCAUCGUGCUUGGGAGACUGGGAA
rnacentral:rRNA from 1 species